rnacentral:lncRNA from 1 species
GUGUGUGCGCGCGCGCGCACACACACACACACACACAGUAGAAUCACCGUGCUAGAGCCACACACACACAAACACAGUAGAAACACAAUGCUAGAGCCAGACACACACACACACACACAGUAGAAACACAGUGCUAGAGCCAGACACACAGACGGAACACAAUUCUAGAGCCAGAGACAGGCAGACAGACACACACACACCGCGCGCGCGCACACACACACACACACACACACACGGAACACAAUGCUAGAGCCAGAGCUGCCAGGUCGUGGUCGCUGACUGUGAAGGCAGACACCAGGCUGUCUAGUGGGGUCCUUGCAAGAGCUCGAGUCUGCCAUUUUCUAGGCUCAUGGGAGAUGUAGGAACUGUGGCAGUUCAGCUGCAUAACACAUCAGCAUCUGGAAAACCUCACGCAGGCAGUCUUUGGCCCUUUCUGAGCCAUGACUCUGUGUGCCUGGAUUCCUGAUUUAUGCAGCUCAGCACUAGGCAGAGUGUGCAGGG